rnacentral:rRNA from 1 species
UACGAAGGGCCCGAGCGUUAAUCAGAAUCACUGGGCUUAAAGCGUGUGUAGGCGGACAUGAAGGCGCUUUGUGAAAUCCCUCGGCUCAACCGAGGAACUGCAGGGCGAACCAUGUGUCUUGAGACAGGUAGGGGUCGUCGGAACGGUAGGUGGAGUGGUGAAAUGCGUUGAUAUCUACCGGAACGCCGAAGGAGAAGUCAGGCGACUGGGCCUGUUCUGACGCUGAGACACGAAAGCGUGGGGAGCGAACGGG